ACAAAGGUUAUGAAAAGAGGAGUAAGUAUUGUUUGACUGUUUCAGAGAGUCUCAGUUUGGUGGAAUGAGAUACAGCUACAAUAAUGAAAAAAGACUUGGAACUGCGUACCGACUGCAUAAAUAAUAUGCUGAGACUACGAUGGGAGUGCCCAUUAUAGCACCAGAGUAUCGAUGGAAAUCCGUACUUGUAAAGGCUUAUUUUAUAAAGAAUAAGUGAAUUAAGGUGGUAACACGUGAUAUUAAUCUCGUCCUUUUG
rnacentral:ncRNA from 1 species